CUCACCCCUACAGUGCUGGGUUCAACUCACAAUGACCCACCCCAAGAAAGGAAAAGGCCAAGAACACACUCUGGGAUGGACCCCACAGUCCAGUGAUCUGAGGCUCACAGCCUGAGCUAGGACAGAAUGGGACUUGGUGGAGGAUGACUGCAUGCCCGGUGCUUAUCCAGGAUCACCUUGCCUCAGUGCACACAAGCACAAGUCCCAUUUCUUCUCCUCAUCCCACUCCAUUGCUUUUGGUAAAGCUGAAGAAGUGGAGCAGAAGGAGGCGAAUCUUGCUUUGGGAAACCAAGCCACCUUAUCCUUGCAUCAUUUCCCAAGUUCAGAAGAGAUGGAAGCCUCUCAAGCUAUGCCAGAGAAAUGGGUGUUUGGGAUAUGGAGACAGCAGUCUUGCUCCUUGUCAAAGUCUUCCUUCCCUGUUGCUGCACAUACCAAGCUCUCUUCCCAGCCUCAACUUCUCACACAUACACUGAAUCUCACAUCCCCCAUGCAGGGUUCUAUGCGAGGCAGUGAGUCUUUCAGAGAUGACUGGGCUGAGGAGCAGGAAACAUGUCCCCUUUAGCUGUACUAUGAGCCCUUGGACAGCAGAAGUCUCCAAUCUUACCUUCUUGAACCCCCCCCCAUACCUAAGGACCAAGACAAUCAAAUAAUUAGUAGACACUAGUGAAAUCAAAAUUCUUACUUGGCUUUUCUUCCCUCUCCGAACCCUGAGCACACUCAAUACGGUUGGCUUUUUCUAAGUCCCUGUCAGAUGAGACCUCGGGUCCGGCCUGCAGCCUUCUGCCUUGAUGGCUCUGAGGCUCUAGUCCUCAGCCUUAGGCAUUCAUUAGAGUGACUUGGGGAGAAUUUUUUAAAAUUCCAGUAAGUAGACUAUACCCCAA
rnacentral:lncRNA from 1 species